rnacentral:rRNA from 1 species
GACGGAGGAUGCAAGUGUUAUCCGGAAUCACUGGGCGUAAAGCGUCUGUAGGUGGUUUAAAAAGUCCACUGUUAAAAAUUGAAGCUUAACUUCAAAGAUGCCGUGGAAACUUUUAAACUUGAGUAUGGUAGGGGUAGAGGGAAUUUCAAGUGGAGCGGUGAAAUGCGUAGAUAUUGGAAAGACCACCAAUGGCGAAGGCACUCUACUGGGCCAUUACUGACACUGAGAGACGAAAGCUAGGGGAGCAAAUGGG